AGAGUUUGAUCCUGGCUCAGAAUCAACGCUGGCGGCGUGCCUAACACAUGCAAGUCGAACGAGAAAGGGGAGCAAUCCCUGAGUACAGUGGCGCACGGGUGAGUAACACGUGACUAACCUACCCUGGAGUGGGGAAUAACUGAGGGAAACCUUAGCUAAUACCGCAUAAUACCUACGGGUCAAAGGAGCAAUUCGCUUCAGGAGGGGGUCGCGGCCGAUUAGCUAGUUGGCGGGGUAAUGGCCCACCAAGGCAAUGAUCGGUAUCCGGCCUGAGAGGGCGCACGGACACACUGGAACUGAAACACGGUCCAGACUCCUACGGGAGGCAGCAGUGGGGAAUGUUGCGCAAUGGGGGAAACCCUGACGCAGCAACGCCGCGUGGAGGAUGAAAUCCCUUGGGAUGUAAACUCCUUUCGAUCGGGACGAUUAUGACGGUAC
rnacentral:rRNA from 1 species